AAGUAUCAUGCUGCUCACUUCAUAUACUAAGGAACGAUACAGUGAAGAUUAGCAUGGCCCCUAUGCAAGGACGACAUGCAAAUUUGUGAAGCAUUCCAUAUUUUU
ensembl:snRNA U6 U6 spliceosomal RNA